UGGGGAAUAUUGGACAAUGGGCGAAAGCCUGAUCCAGCCAUGCCGCGUGUGUGAAGAAGGCCUUUUGGUUGUAAAGCACUUUAAGUGGGGAGGAAAAGCUUAUGGUUAAUACCCAUAAGCCCUGACGUUACCCACAGAAUAAGCACCGGCUAACUCUGUGCCAGCAGCCGCGGUAAUACAGAGGGUGCAAGCGUUAAUCGGAAUUACUGGGCGUAAAGCGCGCGUAGGUGGUUAUUUAAGUCAGAUGUGAAAGCCCCGGGCUUAACCUGGGAACUGCAUCUGAUACUGGAUAACUAGAGUAGGUGAGAGGGGAGUAGAAUUCCAGGUGUAGCGGUGAAAUGCGUAGAGAUCUGGAGGAAUACCGAUGGCGAAGGCAGCUCCCUGGCAUCAUACUGACACUGAGGUGCGAAAGCGUGGGUAGCAAACAGGAUUAGAUACCCUGGUAGUCCACGCCGUNNCGAUGUCUACCAGUCGUUGGGUCUUUUAAAGACUUAGUGACGCAGUUAACGCAAUAAGUAGACCGCCUGGGGAGUACGGCCGCAAGGUUA
rnacentral:rRNA from 1 species